UCAAACACAAUAAUACAAAAUAGACGAA
rnacentral:piRNA from 1 species